rnacentral:rRNA from 1 species
UACAGAGGUCUCAAGCGUUGUUCGGAUUUAUUGGGCGUAAAGCGUCCGCAGGUGGUUUUCCAAGUCUGCUGUUAAAGCGCGAGGCUUAACCUCGUACAGGCAGUGGAAACUGGAUGACUAGAGUAUGGUAGGGGUAGCGGGAAUUCCCAGUGUAGCGGUGAAAUGCGUAGAUAUUGGGAAGAACACCAGCGGCGAAAGCGCGCUACUGGGCCAUUACUGACACUCAUGGACGAAAGCUAGGGGAGCGAAAGGG